UGGCGGACGGGUGAGUAAUGUCUGGGAAACUGCCUGAUGGAGGGGGAUAACUACUGGAAACGGUAGCUAAUACCGUAUAACGUCGCAAGACCAAAGAGGGGGACCUUCGGGCCUCUUGCCAUCGGAUGUGCCCAGAUGGGAUUAGCUAGUAGGUGGGGUAACGGCUCACCUAGGCGACGAUCCCUAGCUGGUCUGAGAGGAUGACCAGCCACACUGGAACUGAGACACGGUCCAGACUCCUACGGGAGGCAGCAUG
rnacentral:rRNA from 1 species